rnacentral:rRNA from 1 species
AUUGAACGCCGGCGGCAGGCUUAACACAUGCAAGUCGAGCGGAGUGAUGGUGCUUGCACUAUCACUUAGCGGCGGACGGGUGAGUAAUGCUUAGGAAUCUGCCUAUUAGUGGGGGACAACAUCUCGAAAGGGAUGCUAAUACCGCAUACGUCCUACGGGAGAAAGCAGGGGAUCACUUGUGACCUUGCGCUAAUAGAUGAGCCUAGGUCGGAUUAGCUAGUUGGUGGGGUAAAGGCAUACCAAGGCGACGAUCUGUAGCGGGUCUGAGAGGAUGAACCGCCACACUGGGACUGAGACACGGCCCAGACUCCUACGGGAGGCAGCAGUGGGGAAUAUUGGACAAUGGGGGGAACACUGAUCCAGCCAUGCCGCGUGUGUGAAGAAGGCCUUAUGGUUGUAAAGCACUUUAAGCGAGGAGGAGGCUCUUUUGGUUAAUACCCAAGAUGAGUGGACGUUACUCGCAGAAUAAGCACCGGCUAACUCUGUGCCAGCCGCCGCAGUAA